ensembl:lncRNA
GACUCAGCCAAACAUAUACAUGUACCCAUCCUCCCCCAAACUUCCCUUCCACCCAGGCUGCAUUGAGUCCCGUGUGCUUACAGUAGGUCCUUGUUGGUUAUCCAUUUUAAAUACAGCGGUGUAUACAUAUCCAUUCCAAACUCCCUAAUUAUCCCUUCCUCCCAUCCUUCCCCUGGGCCACUAUAAGUUUGUUCUCUAAGUCUGUGAGUUUCUUUCUGUUUUGUAAGUAUCAUUUCUUUUUAGAUUCCAUAUAUAAGGGAUAUCAUAUGGUAUUUCUCCUUCUGUAUCUGACUUACUUCACUUAGUAUGAAAAUCUCUAGGCCCAUCCCUGUUGCUGCAAAUGGCUUUAUUUCAUUCUUUCUUAAUGGCUGAGUAAUAUUCCAUUGAAUGUAUAUAUAUACCGGAGAAGGCAAUGGCACCCCACUCCAGUCCUCUUGCCUGGAAAAUCCCAUGGAUGCAGGAGCCUGGUAGGCUUAGUCCAUGGGGUCACUAAGAGUCGGGCACGACUGAGCGACUUCACUUUCACUUUUCACUUUCCUGCAUUGGAGAAGGAAAUGGCAACCCACUCCAGUGUUCUUGCCUGGAGAAUCCCAGGGAUGGGGGAGCCUGGUGGGCUGCCGUCUAUGGAGUUGCACAGAGUCGGACACAACUGAAGUGACUUAGCAGCAGCAGCAGCAGUAUAUAUACCACAUCUCCUCUAUCCAUUCUUCUGUCGAUGGGUGUUUAGGAGGCUUCCAUGCCUUGGCUAUUGUAAACAGCGCUGCAGUGAACAUUGGGGUUCAUGUAUGUUUUCAGAUUAUGCUUUUCUCCAGAUCGAAACCAGGUCCCCUGCAUUGGGAGCAAGAGUCUAGCCACUUGACCACCAGGACCCAAACUGACCUCAGAGAUGACCCCUCUCCUGUUGAGAAACCUGCCAAGAAUGAACAGAAUCCCAUCACCGCAGAGACUGCUGAAAAACUGGCCUGUGUGGCCUGAAGUUUGCUAAGUAUGUGGCGUGUUCUGUACUCACACAGAAAGGCAUAAAGAAUGUAUUUAACGAAACAAUUUUGGCUGCCCUGGAGACGCCAGAACCGAAGAACAGCCACAGGUGUGUGCUGCUAUCAACAACUCUCCAGGAGUGUUUCUGCAUAGCUGGUGUCCGCAUGAUCCUACAAGCAAUGUUUCAAUCAAACUAAGGGUUACAAAUUAAAAUUUGUUUGUGCAAUAAUAACAAAACUGCACCUACUUGCGUGUACUUACGUGAGACAAGGCCCAUAGAUGUGGCCUCCUUCCCUCUCUCAAUGCCAGUGAAUUUUGAGUAGUUGUGGGUUGUCAGAAAAAUGAUCAGUGC